rnacentral:rRNA from 1 species
GGCAACGGAUAUCUCGGCUCUCGCAUCGAUGAAGAACGUAGCGAAAUGCGAUACUUGGUGUGAAUUGCAGAAUCCCGUGAACCAUCGAGUUUUUGAACGCAAGUUGCGCCCGAAGCUUUGCUUAGGGCACGUCUGCCUGGGCGU